AUUGAACGCUGGCGGCAUGCUUUACACAUGCAAGUCGAACGGUAACAGGCCGCAAGGUGCUGACGAGUGGCGCACGGGUGAGUAAUGCAUCGGAACGUGCCCAGUCGUGGGGGAUAACUACUCGAAAGAGUAGCUAAUACCGCAUACGAUCUAUGGAUGAAAGCGGGGGACCGUAAGGCCUCGCGCGAUUGGAGCGGCCGAUGUCAGAUUAGGUAGUUGGUGGGGUGAAGGCUCACCAAGCCAACGAUCUGUAGCUGGUCUGAGAGGACGACCAGCCACACUGGGACUGAGACACGGCCCAGACUCCUACGGGAGGCAGCAGUGGGGAAUUUUGGACAAUGGGCGCAAGCCUGAUCCAGCAAUGCCGCGUGCAGGAAGAAGGCCUUCGGGUUGUAAACUGCUUUUGUACGGAACGAAACGGCUCUGGUUAAUACCCGGGGCUAAUGACGGUACCGUAAGAAUAAGCACCGGCUAACUACGUG
rnacentral:rRNA from 1 species